rnacentral:lncRNA from 1 species
AUAAAUAUAAAUUUAAAGAAAAAGUUAUUAAUUAAUAAAAAGAAGAUAACUACAAAAAAAAAAAAAAAAAACAGAUUAUACAAAGAAGUGGUCCUAACUCAUCCUGUCCUACACAAUUUGUACACAAAUAGGCAGCUAUCUCAUUAUUAUUAUAUCAAUUACCAAAAGAAAAUGAAUGAAGAAAAUGACCAAAGAGAAGAAUCUAAUUAACAAAAAGUGAACAAGAAAAUGGUUAAGAUAAUUAUUAAUUAACUAUUCAUAUAAACAAAACAAAAAUGUUGAAAAAGAAGUAACUCUCUCUGUACAUAAACAGGGUUUUUUUUUUUCUCUUUUUUAUAUAAAGUUUACAAGGCAGUACUUCCCAAUCAUUUUCACAUUUUACAGAAGGAAAUGUCUACUGUUAGAACAGUGCUGUGAGGUUAUGAAUUUUCCAACUCCAAUAGAAUCCUAAUUACUAAACAAAGAAGAACAUAAGAGAUUCUAAACACUAGAUAAAGAAGUACAGUACAUGUAUGUAUAUGAACAUUUGCAGUUGAAUCAUGCAAGCUAGCUAGAUCUCACCUGAUUUUGAUGUUUUUUCUUGAAAGCCAGCAGAAAGCAUGCAAAUUACCAAGAGUUGUAACCCAGAAGAACAAGCAAGUAAAAGACACCCAAAAAAGUGUGAUUUCAGCCAUGGAAUUGGUGAGCUAAAACAGUACAAGUAUCUGAUAAUCAUUGACAGAUUCUGAGAAGUGAGCACUUGUUUGUUGUAGUACUAGUUUGUUGCCAUCCUCAUCUAAGUGCCAGUCUGCACUAUAUGUAGCUGCUGCUUGAACUAUAUGGAUAAAGGUCUUGAAGGAGGCACAAACGUACUAAUUACAGAAAAACUUGACAGACUUAAGCCAUCAUCACUGGCUACUGCUGAGAGCUCAGACAUAGGGAUAAGGAUAUGGAUCUCUUCCUCCUCCUUCUUCNNNN